rnacentral:rRNA from 1 species
CCCUUAGAUGUUCUGGGCCGCACGCGCGCUACACUGAUGCAUUCAACGAGUUUCUUCCUGGUCCGAGAGGAAUGGGUAACAUUUUGAAAGUGCAUCGUGAUAGGGAUAGACUAUUGCAAUUAUUGGUCUUCAACGAGGAAUUCCUAGUAGACGUAGUUCAUCAGACUGCAUCGAUUACGUCCCUGCCCUUUGUACACACCGCCCGUCGCUCCUACCGAUUGAAUGCUCAGGUGAGCCAUUCGGACUUUCAUCAUGCUGGUUUCCAGUUUUGAUGAAGGAAAGUCUUGCGAACCUUAUCAUUUAGAGGAAGGAGAAGUCGUAACA